rnacentral:rRNA from 1 species
CACACCGCCCGUCACACCAUGGGAGUUGAUUGCACCAGAAGCAGGUAGCCUAACCGCAAGGGAGGCAGGUCCCCAAGGAGUGAUCGGUAACUGGGGUG